rnacentral:rRNA from 1 species
AGUCGAGCGGGCGUAGCAAUACGUCAGCGGCAGACGGGUGAGUAACGCGUGGGAACGUACCUUUUGGUUCGGAACAACACAGGGAAACUUGUGCUAAUACCGGAUAAGCCCUUACGGGGAAAGAUUUAUCGCCGAAAGAUCGGCCCGCGUCUGAUUAGCUAGUUGGUAGGGUAACGGCCUACCAAGGCGACGAUCAGUAGCUGGUCUGAGAGGAUGAUCAGCCACAUUGGGACUGAGACACGGCCCAAACUCCUACGGGAGGCAGCAGUGGGGAAUAUUGGACAAUGGGGGCAACCCUGAUCCAGCCAUGCCGCGUGAGUGAUGAAGGCCCUAGGGUUGUAAAGCUCUUUUGUGCGGGAAGAUAAUGACGGUACCGCAAGAAUAAGCCCCGGCUAACUUCGUGCCAGCAGCCGCGGUAAUACGAAGGGGGCUAGCGUUGCUCGGAAUCACUGGGCGUAAAGGGUGCGUAGGCGGGUCUUUAAGUCAGGGGUGAAAUCCUGGAGCUCAACUCCAGAACUGCCUUUGAUACUGAAGAUCUUGAGUUCGGGAGAGGUGAGUGGAACUGCGAGUGUAGAGGUGAAAUUCGUAGAUAUUCGCAAGAACACCAGUGGCGAAGGCGGCU